UACAGAGGUUGCGAGCGUUCAUCGGAAUUACUGGGCGUAAAGCGCGCGUAGGCGGCUUUGCAAGUCGGAUGUGAAAUCCCCAGGCUUAACCUGGGAACUGCAUUCGAGACUGCAUUGCUAGAGUAUGGGAGAGGGAAGUGGAAUUUCCGGUGUAGCGGUGAAAUGCGUAGAUAUCGGAAGGAACAUCAGUGGCGAAAGCGACUUCCUGGACCAAUACUGACGCUCAUGUGCGAAAGCGUGGGGAGCAAACAGG
rnacentral:rRNA from 1 species